GCCCCACGAGUCUUUUUAUUAGCAUAUUCGGACAUGAUUGUAGCAGAAAGUGGGUAGUCACCACCGAUUCCAAAACCAAGCCAGAAGCGGAAGAAACAGAGCGUGGACAUGACAGCAGUACGACUUUUGCCAAAAGAGAGGCCUGAGGCAAUCGAACAAAUGACCAUAAGCAUCAAUGUCAUCCCAUAGAUACGUUUUCUGCCCAUUUUAUCACCAAGCCUGCCCUUUUUACCCCAAAGCCAGCCAAAGAAGAGCUGGCCUGCAAGAGUGCCGGAGAACGCAACACCAUUAACAGCAGCUGAGACAUUUGAUGGUAAAGAUCCAGGAGUAGUAGAAUCUUCCUUGUAGUAGUAGAUUCUGCCUAGCAAUUUGGUCACAAGGGAGAUACAAAAAAGAUCAUAGGCAUCAGUGAAAAAACCCAUGCCACCAAUCACUAUUGCUGUGAAAUGGUACCAUUGCGUUUUGGCCGCAUCAAGUGCAUUAAGCACAUGCAGGUGUUCCCUUGCCAUGAUUUCUCCUUCUGAUCGCACAGAGCAACAAUAACAGCAAAACAG
rnacentral:misc_RNA from 1 species